rnacentral:rRNA from 1 species
UGAGGAAUAUUGCACAAUGGGCGAAAGCCUGAUGCAGCGACGCCGCGUGGGUGAAGAAGGUUUUCGGAUCGUAAAACCCUUUUCUGUGUGACGAGAACGGACGGUAGCACAGGAAUAAGUCUCGGCUAACUACGUGCCAGCAGCCGCGGUAAAACGUAGGAGACAAACGUUAUCCGGAGUUACUGGGCGUAAAGGGCGUGCAGGCGGCAGUCUAAGUCUGGCGUGAAAUAUCCCGGCUCAACCGGGGAAGGUCGUCGGAUACUGGGCAGCUAGAGGACGGUAGAGGCGUGUGGAAUUCCGGGUGUAGUGGUGAAAUGCGUAGAGAUCCGGAGGAACACCAGUGGCGAAGGCGACACGCUGGGCCGUACCUGACGCUAAGACGCGACAGCAUGGGGAGCAAACAGGAUUAGAUACCCACGUAGUCCCUGAGCGGGCUGGCAAGGCGCAU